AUUGAACGCUGGCGGCAGGCCUAACACAUGCAAGUCGAGCGGUAGAGAGGUGCUUGCAUCUCUUGAGAGCGGCGGACGGGUGAGUAAUGCCUAGGAAUCUGCCUAGUGGUGGGGGAUAGCGUUCGGAAACGGACGCUAAUACCGCAUACGUCCUACGGGAGAAAGCGGGGGAGUCUUCGGACCUCGCGCCAUUAGAUGAGCCUAGGUCGGAUUAGCUAGUUGGUGAGGUAAUGGCUCACCAAGGCGACGAUCCGUAACUGGUCUGAGAGGAUGAUCAGUCACACUGGAACUGAGACACGGUCCAGACUCCUACGGGAGGCAGCAGUGGGGAAUAUUGGACAAUGGGCGAAAGCCUGAUCCAGCCAUGCCGCGUGUGUGAAGAAGGUCUUCGGAUUGUAAAGCACUUUAAGUUGGGAGGAAGGGUAGUAACCUAAUACGUUGCUACUUUGACGUUACCGACAGAAUAAGCACCGGCUAACUUCGUGCCAG
rnacentral:rRNA from 1 species